GACCUGAGCUGAAGUCGGCCGCUUAACCGACUGAGCCACCCAGGCGCCCUGCUGUUAUUGUGUUUAAUGUUCCUUUGCAUAAUAUGGUCUUUACCAAAUGAUGUGUAAUAUUUUUCUCGGGCUCCUUUUUGGGAUGCUUGUAUUAGGGUGCAUAACAUUGAGAUUGCGGGGCUUGGGAUAAAAAAAGAGAAUGUAGGUGAAGCAUGAUUUACAUGUGGUGCACACAGCUUCUAAAGCCUUGUGACAAGGCACCAAACGGAAAGGAUUCUGAUUUAGCAGUUGUCACAUAAGCAUAUUCCAUGAGUCAAAUAUGGAGGAAAAAAUGGAGCACUUGAAGUAAAACAAAUAGUUUUGCCAGUUCGUUGUAAUUAAGCAGUCAUGGAGCACUUGAUUUGCUUGUGCCCGGAAAAGUUGGUAUAAGAGUCAGGGGGGUGACAGGUGGAUCCCUUCUGGGACAUGGCAUCAUGGCAAGAUGUGUAAGUUUCCUUGUUAUGUACUAAGGAGUAUGGACAGUCAAGUAAAAAGAUUCCCUAGCAUUCUCUCCUUUUCAGAGCAAGCCAGUAUCCAAGGGGCCAAGUAAGGAGGCAAAGAGGGCCCUGGUAAUGUCACUCACAUCUCUUCCCAUUAUGGAUUCAGGAAAUCCUGUACUACCGAUGUUUUGGAUGGAAAUACAAUCAAUAUCAUUAUCUUCAAGACAUCAGACAUUAAGAACACAGAGGGGAAGAGACACCAGGAAUGUGCACACACACACGGUGAAGACCAACUUGAGGACACAGAGACAAUGUGACCGUCUCAAGCCAAGGAGACCUCAGGAGAAACCAAACUGCUAAUACCUUGAUCUUGAACUUCCAGUCUCCA